UUAAGCGACUAAGCGUACACGGUGGAUGCCCUGGCAGUCAGAGGCGAUGAAGGACGUGCUAAUCUGCGAUAAGCGUCGGUAAGGUGAUAUGAACCGUUAUAACCGGCGAUUUCCGAAUGGGGAAACCCAGUGUGUUUCGACACACUAUCAUUAACUGAAUCCAUAGGUUAAUGAGGCGAACCGGGGGAACUGAAACAUCUAAGUACCCCGAGGAAAAGAAAUCAACCGAGAUUCCCCCAGUAGCGGCGAGCGAACGGGGAGCAGCCCAGAGCCUGAAUCAGUGUGUGUGUUAGUGGAAGCGUCUGGAAAGGCGCGCGAUACAGGGUGACAGCCCCGUACACAAAAAUGCACAUGCUGUGAGCUCGAUGAGUAGGGCGGGACACGUGGUAUCCUGUCUGAAUAUGGGGGGACCAUCCUCCAAGGCUAAAUACUCCUGACUGACCGAUAGUGAACCAGUACCGUGAGGGAAAGGCGAAAAGAACCCCGGCGAGGGGAGUGAAAAAGAACCUGAAACCGUGUACGUACAAGCAGUGGGAGCACGCUUAGGCGUGUGACUGCGUACCUUUUGUAUAAUGGGUCAGCGACUUAUAUUCUGUAGCAAGGUUAACCGAAUAGGGGAGCCGAAGGGAAACCGAGUCUUAACUGGGCGUUAAGUUGCAGGGUAUAGACCCGAAACCCGGUGAUCUAGCCAUGGGCAGGUUGAAGGUUGGGUAACACUAACUGGAGGACCGAACCGACUAAUGUUGAAAAAUUAGCGGAUGACUUGUGGCUGGGGGUGAAAGGCCAAUCAAACCGGGAGAUAGCUGGUUCUCCCCGAAAGCUAUUUAGGUAGCGCCUCGUGAAUUCAUCUCCGGGGGUAGAGCACUGUUUCGGCAAGGGGGUCAUCCCGACUUACCAACCCGAUGCAAACUGCGAAUACCGGAGAAUGUUAUCACGGGAGACACACGGCGGGUGCUAACGUCCGUCGUGAAGAGGGAAACAACCCAGACCGCCAGCUAAGGUCCCAAAGUCAUGGUUAAGUGGGAAACGAUGUGGGAAGGCCCAGACAGCCAGGAUGUUGGCUUAGAAGCAGCCAUCAUUUAAAGAAAGCGUAAUAGCUCACUGGUCGAGUCGGCCUGCGCGGAAGAUGUAACGGGGCUAAACCAUGCACCGAAGCUGCGGCAGCGACGCUUAUGCGUUGUUGGGUAGGGGAGCGUUCUGUAAGCCUGUGAAGGUGUACUGUGAGGUAUGCUGGAGGUAUCAGAAGUGCGAAUGCUGACAUAAGUAACGAUAAAGCGGGUGAAAAGCCCGCUCGCCGGAAGACCAAGGGUUCCUGUCCAACGUUAAUCGGGGCAGGGUGAGUCGACCCCUAAGGCGAGGCCGAAAGGCGUAGUCGAUGGGAAACAGGUUAAUAUUCCUGUACUUGGUGUUACUGCGAAGGGGGGACGGAGAAGGCUAUGUUGGCCGGGCGACGGUUGUCCCGGUUUAAGCGUGUAGGCUGGUUUUCCAGGCAAAUCCGGAAAAUCAAGGCUGAGGCGUGAUGACGAGGCACUACGGUGCUGAAGCAACAAAUGCCCUGCUUCCAGGAAAAGCCUCUAAGCAUCAGGUAACAUCAAAUCGUACCCCAAACCGACACAGGUGGUCAGGUAGAGAAUACCAAGGCGCUUGAGAGAACUCGGGUGAAGGAACUAGGCAAAAUGGUGCCGUAACUUCGGGAGAAGGCACGCUGAUAUGUAGGUGAAGUCCCUCGCGGAUGGAGCUGAAAUCAGUCGAAGAUACCAGCUGGCUGCAACUGUUUAUUAAAAACACAGCACUGUGCAAACACGAAAGUGGACGUAUACGGUGUGACGCCUGCCCGGUGCCGGAAGGUUAAUUGAUGGGGUCAGCGCAAGCGAAGCUCUUGAUCGAAGCCCCGGUAAACGGCGGCCGUAACUAUAACGGUCCUAAGGUAGCGAAAUUCCUUGUCGGGUAAGUUCCGACCUGCACGAAUGGCGUAAUGAUGGCCAGGCUGUCUCCACCCGAGACUCAGUGAAAUUGAACUCGCUGUGAAGAUGCAGUGUACCCGCGGCAAGACGGAAAGACCCCGUGAACCUUUACUAUAGCUUGACACUGAACAUUGAGCCUUGAUGUGUAGGAUAGGUGGGAGGCUUGGAAGUGUGGACGCCAGUCUGCAUGGAGCCGACCUUGAAAUACCACCCUUUAAUGUUUGAUGUUCUAACGUUGACCCGUAAUCCGGGUUGCGGACAGUGUCUGGUGGGUAGUUUGACUGGGGCGGUCUCCUCCUAAAGAGUAACGGAGGAGCACGAAGGUUGGCUAAUCCUGGUCGGACAUCAGGAGGUUAGUGCAAUGGCAUAAGCCAGCUUGACUGCGAGCGUGACGGCGCGAGCAGGUGCGAAAGCAGGUCAUAGUGAUCCGGUGGUUCUGAAUGGAAGGGCCAUCGCUCAACGGAUAAAAGGUACUCCGGGGAUAACAGGCUGAUACCGCCCAAGAGUUCAUAUCGACGGCGGUGUUUGGCACCUCGAUGUCGGCUCAUCACAUCCUGGGGCUGAAGUAGGUCCCAAGGGUAUGGCUGUUCGCCAUUUAAAGUGGUACGCGAGCUGGGUUUAGAACGUCGUGAGACAGUUCGGUCCCUAUCUGCCGUGGGCGCUGGAGAACUGAGGGGGGCUGCUCCUAGUACGAGAGGACCGGAGUGGACGCAUCACUGGUGUUCGGGUUGUCAUGCCAAUGGCACUGCCCGGUAGCUAAAUGCGGAAGAGAUAAGUGCUGAAAGCAUCUAAGCACGAAACUUGCCCCGAGAUGAGUUUUCCCUGACCCUUUAAGGGUCCUGAAGGAACGUUGAAGACGACGACGUUGAUAGGCCGGGUGUGUAAGCGCAGCGAUGCGUUGAGCUAACCGGUACUAAUGAACCGUGAGGCUUAACCUU
rnacentral:rRNA from 1 species